rnacentral:rRNA from 1 species
GACGAACGCUGGCGGCGGGCUUAACACAUGCAAGUCGAACGGAAAGGCCCUGCUGUCGUGUGGUGCUCGAGGGGCGAACGGGUGAGUAACAUGUGAGUAACCUGCCCUUGACUUGGGGAUAACUUCAUGAAACUGGGGCUAAUACCGGAUAGGAGCUCCUGCAGCAUGGUGGGGGUUGGAAAGCUUAGGAGGUUGGGGAUGGACUCGCGGCUUAUCAGCUUGUUGGUGGGGUAGUGGCUAACCAAGGCAUUGACGGGUAGCCGGCCUGAGAGGGUAACCAGCGCCAUGAGGACUAAGAUACGGCCCAGACUCCUACGGGAGACAGCGGUGGGGAAUAUUAUACACUGAGCGGAAGCCUGCUGCAGCAACGCCGCGUGCGGAAAGACGGCCUUCGGGUUGUAAACCGCUUUCAGCUCUUACAUAGCGUGAGUGACGGUAAUGGGUAAAUAAGCACCGGCUAACUACGUG